AAUCAACGCUGGCGGCGUGCCUCAGACAUGCAAGUCGAACGAUUAAACUUUCCUUCGGGGAAGAUAUAGAGUGGCGCACGGGUGAGUAACACGUAAGUAAUCUACCCUUGGGUGGGGAAUAACAUCGGGAAACCGAUGCUAAUACCGCAUAAUGCAGCGGCUUCUUAUGAAGACAGUUGUUAAAGCAUUUAUGUGCCUGAGGAGGAGCUUGCGGCAGAUUAGCAGUUGGUAAGGUAAUGGCUUACCAAGGCGACGAUCUGUAGCCGACCUGAGAGGGUGGUCGGUCACACUGACACUGAAUAACGGGUCAGACUCCUACGGGAGGCAGCAGUCGGGAAUUUUGGGCAAUGGGCGCAAGCCUGACCCAGCAACGCCGCGUGAAGGAUGAAGUAUUUCGGGUAUGUAAACUUCGUAAAAUAGGAAGAAUAAAUGACGGUACUAUUUGUAAGGUCCGGCUAACUACGUGCCUGCAGCAGCCGCGGUAAU
rnacentral:rRNA from 1 species